CAAUAGCGUAUAUUAAAGUUGUUGCAGUUAAAAGCUCGUAGUUGGAUUUCUGGUUCGCUGCGCCUGGCCCGCCUGCGUUAGCAGUGUGAGUGCCGGUUGCGCGGUAGCCAUCCUUCUGGAGAACGCGCCUGCCUUUUACUAGGUUGGGUGCGCGACCCAGAUCCUUUACUUUGAAAAAUUUAGAAGUGUUUAAAGCAGGCAUUUGCUCUGAAUACAUUAGCAUGGAAUAAUGAUAUAGGACUUUGGUUCUAUUUUGUUUGGUUUCUUAGGACUGAAGUAAUGAUUGAUAGGGAUCGUUGGGGGUGCUAGUAUUGAGCGGCCAGAGGUGAAAUUCUUGGAUUCGCUCAAGACUAACUUAUGCGAAAGCAUUCACCAAGGAGAUCUUCUUUAAUCAAGAACGAAAGUUGGGGAUGCGAAGACGAUCAGAUACCA
rnacentral:rRNA from 1 species